UGUUGAGAUGCAAUAAUCGAUUGUUGAAGAGUUAUGACCUGACUUGGAACUGACACAAAUCGAUUGAGGAGCCAAACGGUAACAAGAGUUUAAAUUUCUAACAUGAAAUAAUCGAUUGUCAACUGUGGAAUAAUCGAUUGUUUUGGAAAAGCAUUGCUGAAUGGCUGAGACAGAAAUAGAUUAUGCAAUUUAAGGAAUCAAUUAUUAAACAAAACUGCAUAA
rnacentral:lncRNA from 1 species